GUUUCUCCACAUCCUCACAAAUACUUGUCAUCAUCUAAGAUUUUUUUAACAGUUCUCUUGAUCUUCAGGCAUAUCCCACUAGAAUAUACAGCUGAGUGACUGCUUUCAACUCACUUGAAAUCAUUCUGUUUCUGAGGUCAUGCCCAAGUUUUACCCACAGCAGGUUAAUUUGUUCCAUUUAGCAUGAGCUGUAUAGAGAUUUCCACUUGCAUGUAAUUUAAUUUUAUGAUUAUGUGAAAAAUUUGCAUGGUACCCGGCCAAAUCUACAAAAUAAGAUAUAUCUAGAGAAAUCUGUCUUUCUACCUUAUUCUCCUCUGCUGCUAAAGUUACAGUUUUCCAAUUUUUUAUAAUUUAUCCUUCAAUUUAAAAAGUAGAAGCAAGGAUGUACACACACACACACACGGGCAUACACACACGGACACACACAUGGGCACGUUUUCCGCUCCCAUUCUUUGGCAGAGGACCUCAUCCUUCUCUGCCUUGCUUUCCUGACCUGCUAGCCUGAAGGCCUGUGGCCUGUCCAUGAUAGUUUCUAGAGAUGUCUCCACCGUCAGUUUCAGCCAUGUGGGACCACACUGUGUGGCUGGACCACCGUGCAGCCAGGCCCUGCCACCUGCCUCGUGGCUGUUUCCAGUCUUGCUCUUACAGACGGCGCUGCGAUGAGCAGCUAUUUUUUUAAAUUAUUUAUUUAUUUAUUUGUUUGGCUGCAUCGGGUCUUAGUUGUGGGACGCGGCAUCUUCCUUGCAGCACGCGGGAUCUUUCGUUGCGGCGAGUGGGCUUCUCUCUAGUUGUGGCACGUGGGUCCAGAGCGUGCAGGCUCAGUAGUUGCAGCACGCGGGCUUAGUUGCCCCAUGGUGUGUGGGAUCUUAGCUCCCUGACCAGGGAUCGAACCUGCGUCCCCUGCAUUUGAAGGUGGAUUCUUAACCACUGGGCCACCAGGGAAGUCCCAAUGAGCAGCUCUUUGUGAUGAGGCCAUUUUUUAGGUUCAAGCCCAACAUCAUAAUGUCCAGUGGCGUGAAUUAUUGUCCACAACCUAAGGAGCGGCUUCCUCCCUCAGGGCCUCCAACUCAGUGGCCCAGAGUUGAUUGGUAAGUGGAUCAUUUUCCUACGAGGCUGAUAUGAAGCCAUCACAAAUUCUUUGACCAGAUACAUGGACUUUUCAGCUUUUGACCUGCCCCCCUUUUCUUGCUGUGUCCAGGUGACAGUCAGUGGACACUUACUCUGUCUGGAACCCCCUCCUGCUAUCCUGACGUGUCCCGCCGUGGACACUGCUUGUUCACGUCAGGCCGGCAGCUUCCCAGGCCUCCUCUGGCUUAGCACAAAUGCAGAAGCUGAGCUGAGAAAAGGAAACAGCCUCCAUGGAGGCCUCGGGGGACGCUCCCAUCUCCCAGGGAAGCAUUUCCAGAAGGUGCAGAGGGUCUGAGGGUGGCCAGGGGAAUCAGGGCAGCCAGGCCUUUGGGCCAGGACCGUGGACAGCGGCGCCCGGGGCCCAGCACUGCGCCAGGAGCAGCUGAGAAUCGGGUCAGCAGGUGGCGCCCGUGCCCUCCGCGGGCAGCGCAGACAUGGGGAGCGUCAUUCCUUCACCUCGCACGUGGGUUCCUGGGUGGCUGAGCAGGGUGCGGGGGAGGCGGCCCAACCUUGCAGAGCGCGAUCUAACACGAAUGGAGGGGCAAAAGCAGCCUGUUGAAACAGACAGACACAGAAGACCAGCCUCACACAGGCAGCAAGUUCACCAGAACUCGGAAGGCGAGAUCCCGGGCGUCUGUUGGCGUUGUUAGUAUCAUCUGUGCGCAGCCUCCCAUGAACACAGCCAGUCUUGUGUCGGUGCAAGUGACCCCCCGCCCCUGGCAGACGGAGAGACGGACCCCGGAGAGGCUGGCACCCGCCGUGGCUCGAAGAGCCUAGAGGGGCUGGCAUCACCCUUGACCUGCCUGAGCGAGAGCCCGUCUGUCUGGUGACGUGCUUGGUCAUCACUCGGCCGUGACGAGCCAACAUCCUGAGCUGACCAUGAGGCUGCCUGUCCAGCAGGUCCCCCUGUGGCCCCUGCCAUGCGCGGGAGUAGGAGUCACCGCAUGUGUGGCCCCGUGCGUGAGUCAGACGGGUGCAGCCUCAGACCUCUGUGCCACCUUUGAGUCGGGUGCCAUGAAGGAGACGCACCAAGCCGCGACCACGAGUCUGCUUUUGGGGCCACAUUCCCCGAGGACGCCUGGAGUGUCACCUCCCACACAAGCAGCGCACAGCCUCCGGGUGGAAGGACGGGGCUGCCGGGGGUACGGCGCAGGCCGGAGGUGGGUCCUGGAGCAAGGGCCCGGGCGGGAAGAGCCCUGCACGUUCCCCCAGGCCCUGUCUUCAGCCGCUGCACGCAGGCCGGUUCCAGCCGUGCUGUUGCCCGGGGUAGGGGACAUCGCCCCAGCACAGUCGUGGGCAAAAUGUUUCAGAACCCAGUGUCCUUCAGAUCUUUUCUUUCUUACCUUUUCAGUGCUUGAAGAUUAACCUUUUUUGGGGAAAACUUAGCAUUUUUAAAAGCUUCCUGUUUUUUGCCUAGACUCACCUCAUCAAUCAGAACUGUGCACUCUCGAGGCUGGCAGGAGAGCUCACUUGUCUAGAGAACGGAAACUCGCCCCCUCUUGGGGCUUUUACUAAAGUGAGUUUCCAACCUUCUUGAAAAAAUAACACUGACUCUUGCUGUUUUCUAAUUACAAUUGUCCCCACUCAUUGUAGAAACUUAUGAAAACAUAAAGAAGAGUAAAAGAAGGAAAUAAAAACCAUUCCAAAUCUG
rnacentral:lncRNA from 1 species